GGUUUCUUGAGGAAAAAUAAGGGAUCUGACCUGCCCUAUGAAUAAUGAGGUUGAAUGGCCGCGGUAUUUUGACCGUGCGAAGGUAGCAUAAUCAUUAGUCUUUUAAUUGUGGACUGGAAUGAACGGUUGGACGUAAUAAUGUCUUUUUUAUUUUUAAUAAUUGAAUUUUACUUUUUAGUGAAGAGGCUAAAAUAGAACCAAAAGACAAGAAGACCCUAUCAAGUUUUAUUAUUAAGUAUUAGAUAAGAAGAGGAAAACGAGUUAUAAUAGUAGAUAAUUUUGCUGGGGCGGUGAGUAAGAACUAAUUAAGAUCCAAAAUUUUUGAUUAUUUGUUUAAAUUACUGUAGGGAUAACAGCGUAAUCUUAUUUAAGAGUUCAUAUCGACAAUAAGGGUUGCGACCUCGAUGUUGGAUUAGAAUUCCUUCCUGGAGCAGAAUUUAGGAGUGGUGGUCUGUUCGACCAUAAAAAUUCUACA
rnacentral:rRNA from 1 species